AGCCCACCACCCUGAACGCGCCCGAUCUCGUCUGAUCUCAGAAGCUAAGCAGGGUCGGGCCUGGUUAGUACUUGGAAGGGAGUCCUCACUUUCUGAAUGCUGCAGCUU
rnacentral:rRNA from 1 species